rnacentral:rRNA from 1 species
UACGUAGGGGGCUAGCGUUGUCCGGAAUCAUUGGGCGUAAAGCGCGCGUAGGCGGCCAGAUAAGUCCGGUGUGAAAGUCACAGGCUCAACCUGUGAAUGCCGCUGGAAACUGUCUGGCUAGAGUCCGGAAGGGGCGAGUGGAAUUCCUGGUGUAGCGGUGAAAUGCGCAGAUAUCAGGAGGAGCACCAAUGGCGAAGGCAGCUCGCUGGAACGGUACUGACGCUGAGGCGCGAAAGCGUGGGGAGCGAACAGG